UAUGUGAUCGUCUCUCGCAUAUCAAUAAGCGGAGGAAAAGAAACUAACAAGGAUUCCCCUAGUAACGGCGAGUGAAGCGGGAAGAGCUCAAAUUUGAAAUCUUAAAGGGUUUCCCUUUACGAAUUGUAGUUUAAAGAAGUGUUUUCUGUUGAGGUUUUGGUAAAAGUUCUUUGGAAUAGGACAUCAUAGAGGGUGAGAAUCCCGUAUUUGACCUUUACUUUCAACUUUGUGAUACACUUUCAAAGAGUCGGAUUGUUUGGGAAUGUAGUCCAAAAUGGGUGGUAAAUUUCAUCUAAAGCUAAAUAUUGGCGAGAGACCGAUAGCGAACAAGUACCGUGAGGGAAAGAUGAAAAGAACUUUGAAAAGAGAGUUAAACAGUACGUGAAAUUGUCAAAAGGGAAGCGUUUGACACCAGUGUUGUUUUUCUGAAAAUCAAUUAAAGAACUGUUUAUGCUAAGUUGUUUAGACUUUAUCAGCUAAUCUGCUUAGUUUUGAGCUUUUCUUUAAUGCACUUUUCAGUUAACAAGUCAACAUCAAUUUCUUUUGCUGUAAAAAAGCUUGAGGAAGGUGGCUUGAGAUUCGUCUUAAGUGUUUAUAGCCUCUUGCCUAUGCAGUCGGAGAGAUUGAGGUCUGCAGCGUAGAUCCUUCGGGGCUAAAUGCAUUUGUGCUAAGUUAUAGCAUUUUAUAGACAACUUGUUGACUAUGAUUUGUCUUGUAGCUUACUCGCUUAUGUUAUUUUACCUACGCUUAGGAUGUUGACUGAUAUGUAGUCGUA
rnacentral:rRNA from 1 species